AGUGAACGCUGGCGGCAGGCCUAACACAUGCAAGUCGAACGGCAGCACAGUAAGAGCUUGCUCUUAUGGGUGGCGAGUGGCGGACGGGUGAGGAAUACAUCGGAAUCUACUCUUUCGUGGGGGAUAACGUAGGGAAACUUACGCUAAUACCGCAUACGACCUACGGGUGAAAGCGGAGGACCUUCGGGCUUCGCGCGAUUGAAUGAGCCGAUGUCGGAUUAGCUAGUUGGCGGGGUAAAGGCCCACCAAGGCGACGAUCCGUAGCUGGUCUGAGAGGAUGAUCAGCCACACUGGAACUGAGACACGGUCCAGACUCCUACGGGAGGCAGCAGUGGGGAAUAUUGGACAAUGGGCGCAAGCCUGAUCCAGCCAUGCCGCGUGGGUGAAGAAGGCCUUCGGGUUGUAAAGCCCUUUUGUUGGGAAAGAAAAGCAGUCGGUUAAUACCCGGUUGUUCUGACGGUACCCAAAGAAUAAGCACCGGCUAACUUCGUGCCAGCCGCCGCCGUAACAC
rnacentral:rRNA from 1 species